UACGUAGGGUGCGAGCGUUUAAUCGGAAUUACUGGGCGUAAAGCGUGCGCAGGCGGUUCGUCGUGUCCGAUGUGAAAGCCCCGGGCUCAACCUGGGAAUGGCAUUGGAAACUGGCGGACUCGAGUGUGGGCAGAGGGGGGGUGGAAUUCCGCGUGUAGCAGUGAAAUGCGUAGAGAUGCGGAGGAACACCGAUGGCGAAGGCAGCCCCCUGGGCUAACACUGACGCUCAGGCACGAAAGCGUGGGGAGCAAACAGG
rnacentral:rRNA from 1 species